GUGUGAAGAAGGCCUUCGGGUUGUAAAGCACUUUCAGCUCGUGAGGAAGGGAUGUAGUUAAUACCUGCUUUUUGACGUUACGACAGAAGAAGCACCGGCUAACUCCGUGCCAGCAGCCGCGGUAAUACGGAGGGUGCGAGCGUUAAUCGGAAUUACUGGGCGUAAAGCGCAUGCAGGUGGUUUGUUAAGUCAGAUGUGAAAGCCCGGGCUCAACCUCGGAAGCAUUUAAACUGGCAAACUAGAGUCUGUAGAGGGGGGUAGAAUUUCAGGUGUAGCGGUGAAAUGCGUAGAGAUCUGAAGGAAUACCGUGGCGAAGGCGGCCCCCUGGACAUACUGACACUCAUAUGCGAAAGCGUGGGGAGCAAACAGGAUUAGAUACCCUGGUAGUCCACGCCGUAAACGAUGUCUACUUGAGGUUGUGGCCUUGAGCCGUUUCGGAGCUAACGCGUUAAGUACACCGCCUGGGAAGUACGGUCGCAAGAUUAAAACUCAAAUGAAUUGACGGGGGCCCGCACAACCGGUGGAGCAUGUGGUUUAAUUCAUGCAACGCAAGAACCUUACCUACUCUUGACAUCCAGAGAACUUUCCAGAUAUGGAUUGUGCCUUCGGAAAACUCUGACACAGUGUGCUGCAUGGCUGUCUCUCAGCUCGUGUUGUGAUAUGUUGGGUUAAGUCCCGCAACGAGCGCAACCCUUAUCCUUGUUUGCCACGAGUAUGUCAGGAACUCCAGGACACUGCCGGUGAUAAACCGAGA
rnacentral:rRNA from 1 species